rnacentral:tRNA from 1 species
GCCUGGCUGGUUCAGUCAGUAGAGCAAGCGACUGUUGAUCUCAAGGCUGUAGAUUCGAGUCCCACGUUGGGCG